rnacentral:rRNA from 1 species
CACGGAGUUAGCCGAUGCUUAUUCGUAUGGUACUUGCAAUAGGUUACACGUAACCUUUUUACUCCCAUACAAAAGAAGUUUACAACCCGUAGGGCAGUCAUCCUUCACGCGACUUGGCUGGUUCAGACUCUCGUCCAUUGACCAAUAUUCCUCACUGCUGCCUCCCGUAGGAGUCUGGACCGUGUCUCAGUUCCAGUGUGGGGGAUAAACCUCUCAGUUCCCCUAUCCAUCGUUGCUUUGGUGAGCCGUUACCUCACCAACUGGCUAAUGGAACGCAUGCCCAUCUUAUACCGAUUAAUCUUUAGCAAAUAUUACCAUGCGGUAGCCCUGCAUUAUGGGGUAUUAAUCCGAAUUUCUCCGGGCUAUCCCCCUGUAGAAGGUAGGUUGCAUACGUGUUACUCACCCGUGCGCCGGUCGUCAGCAAUGUAUUGCUACAUCCUGCUACCCCUCGACUUGCAUGUGUUAGGCCUGUCGCUAGCGUUCAUCCUGAGCCAGGAUCAAAACU